rnacentral:rRNA from 1 species
GGCGAACGCUGGCGGCGUGCUUAACACAUGCAAGUCGAACGGUAAGGCCCUUCGGGGUACACGAGUGGCGAACGGGUGAGUAACACGUGGGUGAUCUACCCUGCACUUCGGGAUAAGCCUGGGAAACUGGGUCUAAUACCGGAUAGGACCCUGGGAUGCAUGUCCUGGGGUGGAAAGCUUUUGCGGUGUGGGAUGGGGCCGCGGCCUAUCAGCUUGUUGGUGGGGUGAUGGCCUACCAAGGCGACGACGGGUAGGCGGCCUGAGAGGGUGACCGGCCACACUGGGACUGAGAUACGGCCCAGACUCCUACGGGAGGCAGCAGUGGGGAAUAUUGCACAAUGGGCGCAAGCCUGAUGCAGCGACGCCGCGUGAGGGAUGACGGCCUUCGGGUUGUAAACCUCUUUCAGCGCCGACGAAGCGCAAGUGACGGUAGGUGCAGAAGAAGGACCGGCCAACUACGUGCCAGCAGCCGCCGUAA